CCAGCUACUCAGGAAGUUGAGGCAUGAGAAUCACUUGAACCCAGGAGGCAAAGGCUGCAGUGAGCCAAGAUGGCGCCACUGUACUCCAGCCUAGGAGACAGAACAAGACUCUGUCUCAAAAAAAUAAAUAAACUUAAAAAAAAAAAAAAAAAAACCAACAAGGCCGGGUGGGGUGGCUCACGCCUGUAAUCCCAGCACUUUGGGAGGCUGAGGUGGGUGGAUCACCUGAGGUCGGGAGUUCGAGACCAGCCUGACCAACAUGGAGAAACCCCAUCUCUACUAAAAAUACAAAAUUAGCAGGGCGUGGUGGCACAUGCCUGUAAUCCCAGCUACUCAGGAUGCUGAGGUUGGAGAAUCGCUUGAACCUGGGAGGCAGAGGUUGCAGUGAGCUGAGAAAGCGCCAUCACACUCCAGCCUGGGCAACAGGAGCGAAACUCUAUCUCAAAAAAAAAAAAUAAACCAACAAAAAAAUAUUGAGGCACAGAUGGUGGGCAGCCAGCUAAGAUGACCUGACGCGCCUUCCAGCUGAUUCAGGCUGCUUGCCUCAGACUCAGACACCGCCACCAUGGCCAGUGAGUCUCAGGGGAUCCAGCAGCUGCUGCAGGCUGAGAAAUGUGCCACUGAGAAGGUAUCCAAGGCCCAUGAGCAAAAGACCCAGAGGCUGAAGUAGAUCAAAGGAGCAGCUAAGGAUGAAACUUAACAGUACCACCUGCAGAGGGAGGAAGUGGUCCAGGCCAAGGAAGCCACAGCCCUGGAAUCCCAGUAGCUGCAGCACUCAAGUGGCGUAGGAAGCCCAGAAGAGGACCAGCCUCCAGACCUACUUCUGGCAGAACAAGGCUUGGAUAGCCUCUUGGCCACCGUCUGUGACACUGAGCAGAAAUCCAUGAAAACUACAGCAUAAAUGGAAAGGAGUGGGAGAAAGAAGUGCCUGUUCCAUGAACUGGCGUUUUAGAUGCCCUCAGGGAACAUAAAGCUUUGGCAAAGCUCAAGUUAUAUUCUUAUGAAGUAAAUAGGUCGGGUGCGGUGGCUCACAACUGUAUGUAAUCCCAGCACUUUGGGAGACCAGAGUGGGUGGAUCACGAGGGUCAGGAGUUAAAGACAAGCCUGGCCAAGAUGGUGAAACCCCGUCUUUACUAAAAAUACAAAAGUUAGCCAGGCAUGGUGGGCACCUGUAAUCCCAGCUACUUAGGAGGCUGAGGCAGAGAAUUGCUUGAACCUGGGAGGUGGAGGUUGCAGUGAGCCGAGAUUGCACCACUGCACUCCUGCCUGGGUGACAAAGCAAGACAUUACCUCAAAAAAAAAAAAAAAAAAGAAAAGAAAAGAAAAAGAAAAGGCAGUAAAUAGGUGGGGCAUGGUGGCUCAUGCCUGUAAUCCCAGCACUCUGGGAGGCCAAGGCGGGCGGAUCACAAGGUCAGGAGUUCGAGACCAGCCU
rnacentral:lncRNA from 1 species